AAAACUAUACUUUCAGGAAUCAUUUUUCUGGUUGGUGACUGGAAAAAGGUGGUUGUAAAAAGCCUGGUCUUACUAACUGCAAUGAAGAACUGUAGUGUUUCUUUCUGAGCAUGACAAUAGCUGAAAGUGCUGUUCUGUGGCAGCUCCUUUCUGCUAUAGAAAAGUGUCUUGCUCUUCCUGAGAAGAGCAGGCGAAGGAAACACAGUCUGAGUGGU